UUUGACAGUGUCUUAGUUAAUUUCAUUUUAAUCCAUUAACACUUCUAUGCAUGGCUACCCGAAGCUCUACGGAGAUAAUAACAUUAAUUUUUUAAAUUAUUUAUUAGACAGUAAAUAAGUUAGAGUAAAAAAGUUUAUUACACCCUUCUUUAAAUAUAAGUAUAUAUUUAUAUUUCUUUUUCACUAAAAUAUAAGUAAAUGUAAUGUGUUGAAGUGCCUACUUUAUAGAAAUAAAAGUUAAUAGAAAGUGUUUUGUUGAAGUGCCUACUUGGCUACUAAAAGUUAAUAGAAAUAAAAGUAUCUGUAAGUGUGAUCUAUAUGACUAUAUACUGAUAUUACGAUUUAGUGUUUUGUUUAGCAUGUUUGCAUGAAGUUCUUUUUAGAGUUAUUUAUAUUUGGUACAAAUAUGUUUUUAGUUGAACGGUAAGUUCAAACUUCGACUAAUUAAAUUAUGUGUAAUCCAAGUGCAAGAAUUGAUUAAAUGUUCUUCCAAGAUGUAUCAUGAAUCAAUUCUUCAACCUAAAAAGAUUCUAGUUGUACUAUGUAACAUAGCCACACUGAUUCUAACUAUUUGGUUGUUGUAUCAGGCCAGGCCUACAAUAUACCAAAAAGUGAUGGUGAUGAUUGACAAAAUGGGUUACCAAGAUGAAAGACGGGACUCGUCUACUUCUCCCUAGAUUUGUUUGUAUAUCUUUCUCACAUCCUAUAUGUAUUUAAUUAUAUAAAUUUAUUUUUAGAAUUUGAUUUUGAUAAUUACUUAUCUCUGCAGUUUUAGAUUUCUACAAUUUCUUUAUAUGCAAUGGAGAUACCAAGCAUCUUACUAAUGGAAGCAACUCACAGUAUUCCAAUUGUAUGCAACUCACAAUGUUCCAAGGUCUGAUUUCAGAAGCAAAAAUAUGCAUGGAUUCUACUAAGGUCUGAUUUUCUAUUAGUCAAUAAGGGCCACAAAUCUACUAAGAAGCUAAAACCCUCAGAUGUUAGACGUUCAUUUGAGUCUCCGUAUUGCAGAUAAUGGAUCAGCAAGAAGGACAAAUUAGACUUUACUAUGAUACUUAUGUAUUGUUGGUAUAAUGAUACUUAUUAUUAUAAGAUUGGGAUUUGAUAUGUUUUUCGGUUUGUUGUACUACAUGACAAGAUUAUGGAACUCAUUUCAUGAUAAUGGAACUCACACUUUUUUGAUUUUA